UCGUCUAGUAUUUAAUCAUAAAAAUCAAUUAUUGAUCGUAAGAUAGAACAUGUACUAAUUGAAGUUUAAUUAAUUUAGAAAAAAAAAUUAAUCGAGAGACAAA